UAUUUUGACCGUGCGAAGGUAGCGUAAUCACUUGUCUUUUAAAUAGAGACCUGUAUGAAUGGCAUAACGAGGGCUUAUCUGUCUCCUCCCUUUGGUCAAUGAAAUUGAUCUGUUCGUGCAGAAGCGAACAUACCCACAUAAGACGAGAAGACCCUAUGGAGCUUAAGACACAAGAGCAGACCAUGUUAAAGUACCUAAGUAAAUAGGAACAAACCAAGUGCGCCCCUGCUCUCCUGUCUUUGGUUGGGGCGACCGCGGGGGAACAAGAACCCCCCACGUGGAAAGGGGAGCCUACCCUAAAGCAAGACCGACAGGUCUAACAAACAGAAAUUCUGACCAAAAAGAUCCGGCAAAGCCGAUCAACGGACCCAGUUACCCUAGGGAUAACAGCGCAAUCCCCUUCUAGAGCCCAUAUCGACAAGGGGGUUUACGACCUCGAUGUUGGAUCAGGACAUCCUAAUGGUGCAGCCGCUAUUAAGG
rnacentral:rRNA from 1 species